CUGAUAAAAUCCGGUGUUCCUCUUCCCGCUGAUGAUCUCAAUUACGACAACACCGAAGCUAAAUACAUCUGAUUUGAAUGAGAAAAGGCCAUCUAGUGCAUACUCAGGCGACAUAUAUCCACUGCAACAUCAAAAGAAGUUUCUUUGCCACCAAAAAUCCUUGCCAUCCCGAAAUCGGAAAUCUUUGGAUUCAUCUCCUCAUCUAGUAGAAUGUUGCUUGUUUUUAGAUCUCUGUGAAUUAUCCUCAGCCUUGAAUCUUGGUGGAGAUAUAGAAGGCCUCGAGCAAUUCCCAAUAUUAUACGGUAUCGCAUAUCCCAAUCGAGUAGAACGCAUAGCUUCCGAUCUUGUUAAGGUAUGUCAUUUCCAUUGAAGAACAUAUCUUUAGUGACUGCUUAGUUUCUGUGAAUACAUAUAUAAUAUUCGAUAAAUACACAUUUGACUCACCAAAUAUGAAGGAGUCUAAGCUUUUGUUAGGCA